rnacentral:rRNA from 1 species
AUUGAACGCUGGCGGCAUGCCUUACACAUGCAAGUCGAACGGUAACAGGUCUUCGGAUGCUGACGAGUGGCGAACGGGUGAGUAAUACAUCGGAACGUGCCUAGUAGUGGGGGAUAACUACUCGAAAGAGUGGCUAAUACCGCAUGAGAUCUACGGAUGAAAGCAGGGGAUCGCAAGACCUUGUGCUACUAGAGCGGCCGAUGGCAGAUUAGGUAGUUGGUGGGAUAAAGGCUUACCAAGCCGACGAUCUGUAGCUGGGCUGAGAGGACGAUCAGCCACAGUGGGACUGAGACACGGCCCAGACUCCUACGGGAGGCAGCAGUGGGGAAUUUUGGACAAUGGGCGAAAGCCUGAACCAGCAAUGCCGCGUGCAGGAUGAAGGCCUUCGGGUUGUAAACUGCUUUUGUACGGAACGAAAAGCCCUGGGUUAAUACCCUGGGGUCAUGACGGUACCGUAAGAAUAAGCACCGGCUAACUACGUGCCAGCCGCCGCCGUAA